UUGCUCGCUUGGGCAGCAGCACAUAUACUACAAUUGGAACGAUACCGAGAAGAUUAGCAUGGCCCUAUGCAAGGGUCACAUAUAGACUGACACUCUGACUUU